CAGACCCGGGAUCGCCCCCCGUCAGCGAGGUUUCGCCCACGGGGGCGAAACGC
rnacentral:sRNA from 1 species